AAAACGUCAAAAGGUCACGUGUCGUGCUGCAGUCACGUGGGUGUGGAGCUGGCGCGGGAGGAGGUAGCAGCAGGGAGCUGUGGAAAUGAUCGGCGCUGAUCUUGGAGUGGACGCCGCGUUCAUCACCACCAGCUCUUAGAUUACGUCAGAGCUUUUACUGUAAAAAAGCCUUUUAUCACCGCUCUAUAAUCAGAAAGGUCCCCUCUUACCCGGUGACGUGAGGGGCUGGUGAUUCUCAGUCAUGACGUCCUUGUGUCUUUCUGACUCCUUCACAGAGAAAUAGGCGGCGACAACCUGACACCUUUAUAGGAACCUGACUACAUGUCCCAGCAGCGCUCGCCUCGCUGGUCAGCAGGACAGAUGAAUGUACUUCAUUUUGAGGUUUAACCAGUAUUAUUUUCUGAUAUAGUCCCUUCAGGCACUUUUCCAUGUCCGCUUUACCCAGUGUCUUCCUGUUUGGUAUGGUGACAAGAGGUGUCAAGUAUGGUGUCAUCCCAAGUAGAAUGUGUUGCAGUCAUCCUCAUCUCCAGUGAAAGAAGGUCGAGUCGUCCUCCAUCAGGUGCUUGAAUUUUCUGGCAAUCUACCUUCUCAUGGGAAAAACUGAAGCUGAAUCCAAGAUGGCGUCAUUCAAGAUGGCCUCCACAUAGCCUAACAAUUUGUAUCUAAAAUUUUAUCACUGUCCAUCAUAAACCAUUU